rnacentral:rRNA from 1 species
AGGACGAACGCUGGCGGCGUGCUUAACACAUGCAAGUCGAACGGAUUCGUGGCACUUGUGUCGCGGGUUAGUGGCGAACGGGUGAGUAACACGUGAGUAACCUGCCCCAGACUCUGGGAUAACUCCGGGAAACCGGUGCUAAUACUGGAUAUGACAUCAAGCCGCAUGGUUAUGGUGUGGAAAGUUUUUCGGUCUGGGAUGGGCUCGCGGCCUAUCAGCUUGUUGGUGAGGUAGUGGCUCACCAAGGCGACGACGGGUAGCCGGCCUGAGAGGGCGACCGGCCACACUGGGACUGAGACACGGCCCAGACUCCUACGGGAGGCAGCAGUGGGGAAUAUUGCACAAUGGGCGCAAGCCUGAUGCAGCGACGCCGCGUGAGGGAUGACGGCCUUCGGGUUGUAAACCGUCUUUCAGCAGGGGAGAAGCCUUUCGGGUGACGGUACCUGCAGAAGAAGCACCGGCUAACUACGUGCCAGCAGCCGCGGU